rnacentral:rRNA from 1 species
GACGAACCGUGCGAACGUUAUUCGGAAUCACUGGGCUUAAAGCGCGUGUAGGCGGCCCGGCACGUCCGUCCGCUGAAAGGCCCCGCUCAACCGGGGAAGGGGCGCGGAUACGACCGGGCUGGAGGGGGGUAGGGGGCGCCGGAACUGCCGGUGGAGCGGUGAAAUGCGUUGAGAUCGGCAGGACGCCCGUGGCGAAAGCGGGCGCCUGGACCCCACUGACGCUGAGACGCGAAAGCCAGGGAGGCGAACGGG